rnacentral:rRNA from 1 species
AACGAACGCUGGCGGCAUGCCUAACACAUGCAAGUCGAACGAGACCUUCGGGCCUAGUGGCGCACGGGUGCGUAACGCGUGGGAAUCUGCCCUUGGGUUCGGAAUAACAGUUGGAAACGACUGCUAAUACCGGAUGAUGACGUAAGUCCAAAGAUUUAUCGCCCAAGGAUGAGCCCGCGUAGGAUUAGCUAGUUGGUGAGGUAAAGGCUCACCAAGGCGACGAUGCUUAGCUGGUCUGAGAGGAUGAUCAGCCACACUGGGACUGAGACACGGCCCAGACUCCGACGGGAGGCAGCAGUGGGGAAUAUUGGACGAUGGGCGAUAGCCUGAUCCAGCAGUGCCGCGUGAGUGAUGAAGGCCUUAGGGUUGUAAAGCUCUUUUACCCGAGAUGAUAAUGACGGUACCGGGAGAAUAAGCUCCGGCUAACUCCGUG